UUCUUGCAGGAGUGUGUGUGUGCGUGUACGUUUGUGUGUGGCGUACGAGUGCAUUUACUGAAUUCAUUUUAAGAGUAAUUAUGUUAAACAUGUGAGUAUCCUCAUCAUGUGUGCUCGUAUGUGUGCAUGUGUCUGGGUGUGUAUCUGUGGUGUGUGCGUCUGUCUGUCAGUCAAGCUGCAUUCAGUGACUCGGGAUAUUAUUUUGCUCGUACAAAGGUCUUGUUUUGUCCUUGUGCGUGGACAUAAAUCACCUUAAAAAUAUGCUCCACCAAAUGGCAUAAAAAUCCAUUUUUAAAAAGGCCACAUGCUGUCAGAAUGCAGCAGAACAGAACUUGUUUAAUAUAACCUGGGGAACGAAGAAUUUCUGGAAAAUCGAUCGUUUGUGAACAGGCAUUUAAGUCUAGAUCAUUUCUGCAUAUUGACAGUUGGGUCAAAAAUCUUCAGGGUUGUUCUAAUUGUUGGGAAGAAUAAUUUGUGCCUUAUACUCUUCUCUCUUCCAUCAGUCCGUCUCUUUCUUCACCACUAAUCAUAGAGCUUCAGUUGGAGCUGGUGCUUUGUGGGGAGGAGCCUGCAACAACAGAGAUCUGGGCACACAGAGCAGCUUUAAUUAGAUGGGGCCUCGUGCCAUGUGCCAUCACAGCAUGUGUGAAAAUGAAUGUGUGCCUGUAUGUUGUGCAGCUUUGUCUUUAUGUGGGGAUGCUUUUUUUUGUGUUUAUGUCUGUUUAGAUUUUCCUUUCUUUUUGCAUAAAAAUUUGUAUUAUUUACACACUGAAUAGAAAUCCCAUGGACCUUAAACCUUAAUGUCCUCCCGUAAGCACCACCCUCGAGUGUCGGCCAACUGCUUUGGCAUCAGAUAAUGUAAAUGAAGACAAACCAGUUUCUUUUGUAGUCAAAUAGCCAGGAUCUUCUUUUAAUUUAAAAAUGUAUUUCAGUCAUUGUGGGGGGUGCUGUUUGAAGUCAUCACACUCCCAUAGAGCCACUCAGUGGGCAUUGCAGAUUGACCAUAGGGAUGGGCGCCAGACUGGAGAAAGGAAGACUGGAGUCAUUGCCAGAAUGAACUGGUUCGACAACUGGUGCAAUUGUUUUUUAAUUGGUGCACCUUGCUGAUUGUUUGACAUGAAGGGUUUUUGAUAUACCCCAAGCCAAUCAACGGGUUUAGUGGACAAAGGGAGGUUUCCAGUUGGUUGAGCGGAUUUUAGGCGGGAUACAGACAACCUGGUGACAUCAUAAAAUGAGAGGUCAGAACAUUUAAAGGACGCUGAGAGCUGAAGGAUAAUUAGAAGAGCUCAAGCCAGAAGACUGACAUUUUUGUUCCAUGGAGUUAACGGUUGUUUUAUUUGUAUUACUUAGAAUAUGUUACAUGGCAUAGAUUUUUACUCAGUUUGUUAUUAGUGAAAUAAUAACAUUUUAAAACCCAUACAUAUGUUUGUUAACAUUUUUCUUAUCUGUCUUUAGGUGAGAUAUUGGCCCAUGUUUCUUGGCCUGGGGUUUAAGAGGAUGGGUAGCCUUAGGGGUUGAUUGUUAUCUUUGGUUAUCUAGCUGUAUGAGUGAUGUACAUUCUUCAUAAAGCUAGAUAACCGAAAGUAACAAGAAUCCCAUUACACUCCUGGAAAGGCAUCAAGACCCAAAGUGACUCUUUUCAUCAAAAAUGUUUAAAAUACACAAGAAGAAGUUUAACUUGAAAAAAAUGGACUGCAUUUUAAAGGAGAAUGGAUCGUUCAUCAAAUAAAGGGUACCUCACCACAUAGAGAAAAGAUAGCAAAAGAGGACUGAAAACAGAAGAGGAGGAGGGGUUGCUGUUGAUUGUGCCCUCCCUCUCUCAUCGCCCUCUUCUGCAUCGCCUCUUCCCACCUCCUCCUCUUCUCUUUCUCCUCCACACCAUCCUCAGCAGACUGCCCCUUUUUCCUGUACAGCGAAAUGCAGCCCACUCCACCAUCUUAGAGCAACGCUGGCAUAAAAUGGAAGUGGAAAGACCAGUCACUGCAGAUAAACGUUGGUGGUCACGGGGUUCCAGAAUGGACAGAACGCACAAUGAGGAGACGACAGGACUCCUCUUUCACGGCUUUCUACCAUUCAGCUGCUGUAAACAAGGAUCCUGCUGUCUGUGUGCGACUUGAUGGAUCUUGUUUCCAUGUCUGUGGAACACUUUGGCCCACCUGGAUGUUUUGUGAAGACCUUUUGGUGCUUUAGCUACAAAAACAUCAUUUUGAACUGUGGCUGUGGAAGCCUGUGGGCUAAGAAAGAUGAUGCAUAGCACUAUAAUGCUGCAGAUUUUUUUUUUAGUCUACCAUUGAUUUUUUUUUUUUUUUUUGCAUUUUGCAUAUGUCUGUACAUAACAUACAGACAAGCAGUGUAAUUCUAUAACUAACAUAUAGGCUCUCCCAUAUCUAGGUUGUUUUCAGUUUGAGUUUCAGCCCUUGCUGAUGUUCAGUUUGAUGUUCUAUUUUAGUUGCUAGGACUCAAAAGACAUGUGAAUGUGAGACCCACGACAGCAGUGAAUAAUACUGCACUGCGAUUGGACAGCUCCGUGUGUCGGGUGACACAAUGGCGAAGGAGAGAGCUGUCGUCUUUAUACUCUAUGCAACUGUUCUGUCUGUUUUGGUUUUGUUUUGGGCAGAGCCUUUUUUAUCUACGCUUUGGAUUUUUUUAAUGGGCUGACAAUUAAUGGACAUUCCUUCAUACAUUAUCAAUAUAAAUUGUUCUUUAUCCAGAAUUAAUUCUAAUUUCGAUGUGUAAAAACUGGAAUUAGAGGAGGUGUGUAUCAUAUUUUACUGGUAAUUCUAUUUUAAAGCCUGGAAAAAAAUACUUUUUGAAUAAAUGUGGAAUCAAAUAUAUAAUAUUCCUGAUGGCAGUAGUGUGUUUGAUCAGGAGGAAGUGGCACAUUGCUGCUGUGUGUAUGUUUCCUCUGAGGCACAUUAGUUUGCCUCAUAGCAGUUACCUGCGCUGCUGUAAUGAUACGUCUUUGGGUUAGACAUGACAAAUACAUUGACUUCAAACACUGCCUUAAUUUCCUGUUCACACACAAAUGCACACGCACACACACACAGAUCCCAGUGCAAUAACACAAGUACCAUUGCAGCUUAAUUCAUUUUAUAUUAAUUUUCGGGAAGUGGAUUUUUUUAUCAUUAUGAUUGAUCAUCUAUGCAAAUCUUUUAAAGUAUUACUUUAAACAAUCUAUGCACUGCUCUUUUGCUCUUGCAUUUGAUUCAAGGGAGACUGUCUUGGCCUAAUUUAGAAAAUGUAUUCUUUUGAUAAUCAUGCACAUCCCAGUGCUCGAGACAAUUACUUAUCUGCCUGGAUAAGCUUGAAAUUAUGUUUUUAAUCUUUUGCAAAAAAAUGUCUCUCUUCUGAUAUCAGUUGAGAGGCAUAAAAACCAUGAUUUCUGGUGUGAAAUAAUUAAAUCACUAUCACUUAAUAUCCUUGCUUUUUUAAAAUGCAAAUAUAAUUUAUCUGUUUAGCUUUGUCUGCUUAUUAGCUCAUUUUUUAAGAUGUAUGUUUGUAUUAUGCAACUUGUGUAUAAGUGCUCACCACAUGUGCCUUUGUAUGCAAAUCUGUAUUAGAAUAGUAAUAAAGGUUUACAUUGAAAACAAU